AAGUUGAAAAUGUAGUAAGCCUCAUAGCAUGAUGGAUAAAUCUACCAUUCAAGUGAAAAAUUGAACAGAUUCAAACAGAAAACAGCCACACUGACUAAAUGAGCAUUCUAGUAUUCUACUAUAAUUAAAUGAGCAUCGCUAAGCUACACAAACAUAUAAGAACAUGGGCAUGCCUUGUUCACCAUUUGGCACAAUAUGAACUACUAAUAUCUGGAAGUAAUAGGGUAUUCAAAUUACGAAGCAGCUUUAAAAAAAUGGUUAUUUCAGGACAGAACAUAGAACCUAAAAGGAUUUGCCUUGGACAAGCAAACUGUAAACAUAUUAGCAUUUCUGCAACUAUGCCUCAAGCUGCAAACAAUAAGAUCAGGAACUAUAUAGCAACUCCGUAACAUCCAAGCCUACAAGUGCCAAAUGCCUAAACAAGUCUAAUUACAGAAUCAGUUGUUUUGUAAAUCAAUAUGUUAUUCAACAAGGUAAAUUACACUCACUCACACACACACACAAAGACAGAAGUAAAAAUUUUCUUAACCAAAAAAAAUUAGAAUACAAAUUUAUCUUUGGGAGAGAGAGAGA
rnacentral:misc_RNA from 1 species